rnacentral:rRNA from 1 species
ACGCUCGACACCUACGGGAGGCCGCAGUGGGGAAUAUUGCACAAUGGGGGAAACCCUGAUGCAGCGACGCCGCGUGAGCGAAGAAGUAUCUCGGUAUGUAAAGCUCUAUCAGCAGGGAAGAAGAUGACGGUACCUGACUAAGAAGCACCGGCUAAAUACGUGCAAGCAGCCGCGGUAAUCUGAGCGGGCUGGCAAGGC